rnacentral:lncRNA from 1 species
CUGCCCAUUCUUCUUCUCCAUUUUUGAAAGCCUCGCCGGAGCUCACAAGCAUAUGUUCAUACAUGUCUCAGCGUAGCUCCACACCACACCGCCAACCAGUUGCCCCCGCUCCCUCUCAUACGCUGCCCCAAACGCAACGCAAGCUACAUAAUCUGGCAUGUCUCAGGAAAGGAAGAAAACCCAGGGAGUCAUUUCUACAAGUGUGAACUCCAUGGAGUAAGUUUCUCAACACCCUUUCCAUCCGUCUUCUUCAUUCUGGGCUAAUUUCUUCGUUUACGUCAGAGCAUGAAGGAUGCAAUUUCUGGAAGUGGGAGAACAAGUACAUAUAGUACUUCAGUUCGGGGCCAUCUGAUUUCGCAUGCAUCGGUCCAUCGCCACGUCCCGCUUCUCGAACAGAAUCAAACAUUGGUGAAGAACAUUUUCAUCCUAGGCCUUGUGAACCUGCUGGCCAUGGCCAUCAUCUUCAUGCAGAAACUCUGAAGCUUAGGGCCUCUGCGAAGGGAGUGCGGCAGAUUUCAUACGUAUUUCUUUUACUUUUGCAUGUUUUGCAUGCAUGUAUCUGUUAGUAUGUGUUGCUUUUUCAUAUGGGCAGACAGUUGGCUUAUCAAUAAUACAUCUCCAACGGUUGUGUGAAUGUAGCCCCAUCAUGGCAAGUCGUAUUUGAGCUAUACGUUAUUAAUUGAACCGUGACCACGAGACACACUGCAAAACAAAUGCAAAUACACACUGACGUCAUUGAUGCUCUGCGUUACGUGUGCACCACAAUCACCAGUGGACAAGAGUUUAAUGAGACCCAGUCCCCCCUGCGCGCAUUAAUUCGACGCUGCUAUCCUCCAGUCUGAUCAUGACACCCAGCAUGAAUUAAUUUGCCAUCAACACAUCGGGUCUUCAAGAGCACGACGGC